UCAAUAUUUCGCUUGUGCAUAGGGGUGUUUAGCAGUGGAAGGAAACCGGAGGACCCGGAAAAAAACCUACAAGGUUGGACAGGCAACCCUAAAACCAGGGAAUCGAAACCACGCUAAUUGAUACAAUGACAGACCUUAUGAUACAACGCGCAUGCACUAACCAUUCGGCCAUCCCCCCUCUCUCUCUAGGUUAUGAGCCUGCACCUUAUUCCCUGAGCCACAACGGCUCCCAUAUUGUAAAGAAGAUCACAAAUCAACAGUUCAGUGAGCCAGAGUCUGCUGAUACAUUGCGGCUCUCAUAUUGUAAAAGAGAUGAUAAAUGAACCAUUUAUUUCAAUUGGAUUAUUCACCCUCUCUUUCAUGAAGUGUUAAACUAAACCCUUCAAUCAUCACAAAAGCUCCUACAAAAAAAACACCGAGGAGCAGUUAAUGUAAUUUGUUUUCAAGGGAAUCAACACCAGGCAUGUAUUAAAGAAAUCUAAUCAGGAGGCAAAAGCUCGGACAAAAAGCUAGUGAAUGGUUUUCACUGGGAUGUAAACAUUGCAGAUUAACCUCAAGAAGAAAUACACUGAUACACCAUAACCGUGGUUGGAAAAAUACAGGCAAUCGUUACUCAAGAUAAAUCAAACAAGUUGAAGACGAGAGGAGUCGGGUUUUCUGUGAGGAUAUCUGUCUGAGGCAAUUGAUAUGGGAACAAUAUAAAUCUAACGUGACUACAUCAACUCACUCAGGCAUUUAAAAAAGAUUGAGCCAUGCCAAAUUGGUAUGAAGGGGAAAUGGUAUGGUUGUGUUGCUAGGUUAUCGCGAGUCAUUUCUCAAAAGGCCCAGUUAUAACAUAGACCGAUUUAAUUUACUUUCUUUUACAGAUGGCAAACCUAGAGAAGAAGUUCAACUAGAGAAAGAUACAAGGAUUAUUGAUGGAGAAAAGAAGUUCUACUAGAUGAUCGAGAGGAGACGACGAAUAAAAACAAAGAAUCAUCACGUUUUGAGUAAAUAUGGAAGACUAAGAAAAUAUAAGUGAUUUUUGGUCGGUUGAGUGGGUGAUCAUGUGUAGACUUGAACAUCUGGCAAACCACUUCAACCAGCUAGUUCUUGUAAUAAUAACAAAUUACAUGUGGGAAUUACCAUAAAAAAACAGCCAAAAACUUCUGUUUGAUUCCAGAAAAAAAUAGUAGAAUGUACUUGUAUUGAAGUGAAAAUGCAAACCAUUCUCUCUGUUGAAGGAAUAUACAGGGCUUGUAAAUCCCUCCUGAAGUUCGUCUGAAAUUGUUUUGUAAAAAUAUCCGUGUCUUAGAGGAAUAGAUGUGUUUGUGAUAAAAGUAAACUCACAUCUAACAGGAGUAUAUAGAUUUCUAUCUAUGUUCAAUAUAAAUAAGGAUAUCAUGGUUUCAACAAAAUGUUUUGUAAAAUAUCUGACAGGAGUAGGCCUAUAUAUAUAUUUCUAUCUGUUCAAUACAAGCAAGAUAUCAUGUUUUCAACAAAAUGUUUUGUAAGAUAUCUGUGUCUUAUAAGAAAUAGAUGUGGUCUGUGAUAAAAGAAAAGUCACAUCUGACGGGAGUAUAUAUUUCUACGUUCAAUAUUGAAGUUUCAACAAAUGUUGCUUGCGAUAAAAUAUUUCAUAUUCAACAGGAGUAUAUAUUUCUACGUUCAAUAGGAACAAGGUAUCAGGAUUCCGUGAAAACUUGCUCAUCAACAAACAAGCCUUCGAUGGACGUCAGCUAAAAUGAAAUACAGAAGUCCUAGUAUUACCAAAUGUUGAAGAUGGAGCCAAUCAAGUUGUUUUAAUAUUCAUUCAAGAGUUUUCAAUCAACAGACUAUCUAAGAUUAAUAAUAGCAGGCAUGUUAUGAGAGAGAGACAGACAGAGAGAGAGAGAAAGGUGGGGACACAAACUAGAUCAAUUCGGGACUAACAUGGUUUAAUUUUAUUUCAAUAAUUCGCAUGUGUGUAAGAGUUUUUAGCUGUGGGAGGAAAUCGGGGACGUGGAGAAAACUCAUAGGAUUGGACAGUCAACCCUGUUCCUCAUCCCAUAAAAGUGGGAAAUUUAACAAGAGAGAGAGAGAGAGCAGUCGAUCAAGUAAUACAAUAAUAUCAUACAGCAUGGUCUCACCAUAGAUGAAUAACAUCAGAAUCUAAUAGAGUAAAACAGUAGGCCAUCAACCAGUAAUGCUGUAAGAUUAUACGGGCUAUUGGCUAUUAUCUCUCUCGUUCAACCAAAGAACCAGUAGUAAAGAAAUGAAGAAACAAGAGCCGGCAGAUAUUGUUUGUUUUAACAAUAACUCAUUAAGAUUUUAUUUAGAUGUGAAAGACUUUCUUCAUGACUAAUUUUUUUAGAUGUGAAGCAUUCAUUAUUGGAUAUUAUCUUCAUUCAUUUGGAUAGUGAAAGAGUUAUGUAUGAACAUAUUCAAAUGUGUAAUUUGUUUCCCCAUUGGAUACCCAUAUUCAUUUGGACUGUGAAAUAUUGUGUAAUUUGUUUCCCUAUUGGAUACCUAUAUUCAAUUGAAUUGUGAAAAACCGUUAAGAAUCAGUUCAAACUUGUGUGUAAUACUCUAUACCAUUGGUACAUACAUUGGAAACCUCUAGCGGCAAUCAACAAGUGUUAUCAAAAGGUGAAGGGAGACAACUACACAAAAACCAAAAUAAAAGACUAAAAAGUUGUGUAAAAUCAGGACGUUUUCUACACAUCAAGCAAAUUAAAUGGACAUUAAUAAACUAAAGGAGGAUUACGUACGACACAUACAUUAGCUGGUGUUAGGGAAUAAGACUCAUGCUCUGGCAAAUAUUUGUCAAGUCCAGAAUAAAUUAGGCAUCUCUACAAUACAACAAGAAACAAUCACUACUCAUUUCAAGGGAAAAAACUGGGUGGGAUAGGACCACCUGGCAUGCCAUCUUGCGGCGGCAUUUGACCUAAUGGACUCGGCGCCGCUGCAUUCUGUAAAUAUAGAAAAAUAAACAAGUAAGUGAUCACUUGACAAACAGGUAAUAAGUGUAAAAUAUAAAUAUUUAGUUUGCAUGCAGUGUACAUGUAUUAUUUAAAAACAGGGGCAUGUCCAGGAAUUUGAGCAGAGGGGAGUCUGGGUUGAACAUCAAAUUUAGGAAAUCAGAGGCCAAAAUGGCAACAAUGCUUUGCACAUUUGUUAUGACGUUAAUUUAACAAAAUGUUGGAGAAAAGAAAAUAGGCGACAUUCAGCAAUAUCUCUAUAUAAACAAGCCAACAUCCCCUACAAGUUGUAUAACAUUUGAUAGGCCUCUAAUUUGACUGAAUUCACACCAGGUGAUUUAUGUGGAUUAUUUACAUGUAUAUAUGAACAGUAUUAAAUGCACAUGUAGCAACAUGAAUAAACAAUUUUAUAAGAUUU